ACAGACACAAACCAACAACUGAGAUAACAGCAGACUUUACAGCAGUAGAAGUUACAGCAGUAGAAGUUACAACAGUAGAAGUUACAGCAGUAGAAGUUACAACAGUAGAAGUUACAACAGUAGAAGUUACAGCAGUAGAAGUUACAACAGUAGAAGUUACAACAGUAGAAGUUACAACAGUAGAAGUUACAACAGUAGAAGUUACAGCAGGAGAAGUUACAACAGAAGUUACAAGACUAGCAGUUACGAGUUGAAGACAAAUAACCUAAUUAAAUAAAUACCAUGGAUAUUGAUGAUUGUAUAUAUGCCAAUCAAAGACCCAUAAAGCCCCGCAAGAAGGAUGGAGUGGGUGAUCAACAUUCAGGGUUUUGUCAGUGGUGGAAGAGAUACUCUGGAGCUGCUGCAGUGUGUCUGGGGCUGCUGUGUGUUAUACUGGCUGGGAUCAUAGGCCUGUUACUCUACCAGAGAAACCAACUGACCAGUUAUAACAGCCUGACCAAUGAGCGAGACCAGUUACAGACCA